rnacentral:rRNA from 1 species
GAUCAUGGCUCAGGAUGAACGCUAGCUACAGGCCUAACACAUGCAAGUCGUGGGGCAGCGGGUAUGCUUGUUUUCAAGUAUAUGCCGGCGACCGGCGCACGGGUGAGUAACGCGUAUCCAACCUGCCCAUCACAAGGGAAUAACCCGUCGAAAGUCGGCCUAAUGCCCUAUGUAUUCCGAUGAAGUCCUCUGAAUCGGAAUAAAGCAUUUGCGGUGAUGGAUGGGGAUGCGU